rnacentral:rRNA from 1 species
GAUGAACGCUGGCGGCGUGCCUAAUACAUGCAAGUCGAACGCGAGCCUUCGGGCUCGAGUGGCGAACGGGUGAGUAAUACGUAAGCAACCUGGCCUUUACAGGGGGAUAACUGAUGGAAACGUCAGCUAAGACCGCAUAGGUACAGAGAUCGCAUGAUAACUGUAUUAAAAGUGCUACGGGACUGGUAGAGGAUGGGCUUACGGCGCAUUAGCUUGUUGGAGGGGUAACGGCCCACCAAGGCGACGAUGCGUAGCCGACCUGAGAGGGUGACCGGCCACACUGGGACUGAGACACGGCCCAGACUCCUACGGGAGGCAGCAGUAGGGAAUUUUCGGCAAUGGGGGGAACCCUGACCGAGCAACGCCGCGUGAAGGAAGAAGGAAUUCGUUCUGUAAACUUCUGUUAUAAAGGAAGAACGGCACAUAUAGGGAAUGAUAUGUGAGUGACGGUACUUUAUGAGGAAGUCACGGCUAACUACGUGCCAGCAGCCGCGGUAAUACGUAGGUGGCGAGCGUUAUCCGGAAUUAUUGGGCGUAAAGAGGGAGCAGGCGGCAGCAAGGGUCUGUGGUGAAAGGCUGAAGCUUAACUUCAGUGUGCCAGAGAAACCGGGCAGCUAGAGUGCAGGAGAGGAUCGUGGAAUUCCAUGUGUAGCGGUGAAAUGCGUAGAUAUAUGGAGGAACACCAGUGGCGAAGGCGACGAUCUGGACUGCAACUGACGCUCAGUCCCGAAAGCGUGGGGAGCAAAUAGGAUUAGAUACCCUAGUAGCCCACGCCGUA